rnacentral:lncRNA from 1 species
CCGCCAGCUGCUGCACACCUCACACCACCCAUCACGGCUCGCACCAACGAAACGAAUGCACUUCUUAACCAGACGCCUAUAAUGUCCACGCUGGAGAAUCCGAGCGCUGUGCAGCUGAGACGUGUCUCUCCCCUGGGCGAGGUUAACCUGGAUGACAGUUUGGCCGUCCUCGGUGCCACAAACACUAGUGGCGUACCCACCUCACUAGAACUCCCAAUUACCGUAACGAAUCCGGCUAUAGCUCACCGCGUGACAGCUCCCAUAGCGGAAAUUGUGCAGUUAGCUCCCUUUCAGUAGAAAAUACAUAUAUCGCCAAGAAUUUGUUUCCCCUAUUGAUUAUUUUUUUCAUACACAUUAGAGUUUUUCUAAGCCUUAGUAGAUGUAACGGAAGUAUCUUAUGUUGACCGUAAAGGAGCCAGAUAAGUUAUUUUUUUAACGUUGUGCUUGUUUAAUACAACAUAAAGAACCGAAGAAUAUGUCAUACAUUGUUAUACCCGGUACUCGAAGAGUAAAUAGGGUAUAUUGUAUUUGUGUGAAUAACUGUUGUAUGUAACGCACAGAAGGAAGCGAUUUCGACCCCAUAAAGUUUAUACAUUCUUGAUCAGCAUCAAUAGCCGAGUCGAUAGAGCCAUGUCUGUCUGUCCGUCCGUCCGUCUGUCCGUCUGUCCGUCUUGUUUGUCGGCUAGUUCUCACAGCCUAUAAGAGCUAAAGUUAGCAAAUGUUGGCUCCGGACUGCUGUUUGCUCACACCGAAACCAGUGCAUUUCAAAAAUUAGCCCCGCCCCCUUCCGCCCCCGCAAAAGGGCGAAAACCUACAAAAGCUACAAUUUUGAAGAUAAAAUAAAACAUUCCGUAGGGAAUGGCCAUAUCUAUCAUAGCACCAAAUUGGGACCCGAUUGGAUGAUUAUUAUAGCCAGAAUGAAGAAAUUAAUUUGCAGUGGCUAAGCCCACCCUGUCCCGCAGCUUUUGUUGUUCAUUUUACAUUCUCUCAUUCACACUCUGCUUCUGCUUCACUCGGCCCCUGCCUCUGCCCUCCCCUUGCCGAUGCCUCUUCCGACUUUUAACCCACCCCGUCCCGCAGCUUAUAGUUCUAUUUUUUUUUUUUUGUUUGUGCGGGCGCUGCCUCUCCCUCUGCCGCGAGUCUGCAGUAUGUGGGACUAGGGAAGGGCGCCGAGCGUGUUGGUGUGAGAAGUGUUGUAGAUGUAGAUGACAGUUGAAGAAAAAAUUUAAAAUUUGACAAAACACCGCUAAGGUGCAGAUGUAGUACUGAGUGCCGGGUAUAAAAGUUGUGACGCGUAAGAAGCGUCUCACACGUCCCUUCUCGUUAGUUUUCUUUUAUCUUCAAAAUUGUAGAUUUGGGAGGUUUUCGCCCCUUUGCGGGGGCGGAAGGGAACGUGGCUCAUUUUUGAAAUACACUUGUAACAGUCUGAGCAUACAGAAGUCUGAAUGCAAAAUUUGGUGGCUCUAGCUUUUGGGGUCGCUGAGAUCCAGGCGCUCAACAAGACGGACGGACAGACGGGCAGACAGACAUGGCUCAAUCGACUCGGCUAUUGUUGCUGAUCACGAAUAUAUAUACUUUAUGGUGUCGGAAACAUUUCCUUCUGUGUGUUACAUACAUUCACUUUGUGUACAAAUACAAUAUACCCUAUUUAUUCUUCGAGUACCGGGUAUAAAUAGAUAAAAGAUAUAAAUGCCAUUCCGUAGGAAAGAACCAUAUCUAUCAGAUCACCGAAGUGGGAUCAGAUUUAAUCAAUGUUAAAGCCAGAAUGACAGACAGACAUGCCUCAAUCGACUCGGCUAUUGAUGCUGAUCAAGAAUAUAUAAGUUAACACAUAAGAAAUAACGUGUAAGAAAUUAAGAACGAAUGUUCAUGUGUUCAGAACAGUACAGAAUCAAUUUAAAAACGAUCCAGCCAUGAUAAAAGCGUUAGUAGAAGGCGCAAUCAACACAGCCCUGGUCGAACAGGAACGACGACUGAGUGCAGAAUUUGGCAGGGAACUCGAAAAAGUUAGAAAUAGUGUGAGCGCCCUAACUUUAGGUGUCCCUCAGGUGGAAACUUAUAAGAGAGUGACCAUUGACACUAAUAUAAAAUGUGAAGUGAAACUAGAUAUCAUAAAAUCAGUACCAACUUUCAACGGGAAUCAUGAGGAAUAUGUGUCAGGGAGACAAUCUGCUCUAGAUGCGUACGAAGUUUUCAAAAACUACACUGUUAGUCAGACACACUACGAGGCUGUGGCCAUCAUAAAAAAUAAAAUCCGUGGAACAGCUCGAGCAUUGCUCACAUCGCACAACACGGUGCUCAAUUUUGAUGCAAUCAUAGCUAGACUUGAUUGCACAUAUGCGGACAGAACAUCCCUACGAGUAUUACGUCAACACUUGGAAAUGGAAUAUUAUGACGAAGUCAAGUGAAAGCUAACGCUCGUCACUAACAAAUUGGCCAUAACUCAUAAUGAGGAGGCAGCUACCAUUCUCAACGAGGAAAUCAGGAAUGAUGCUUUACACGCAUUCAUAGCGGACCUCAAGAGGCAGCUAAAAUUGUUCAUUCUCCCGGCACAGCCCAAGGAUUUGCCAUCCGCCUUAGCUCUAGCUCGCGAGACCGAAAAAAGCAUUGAGAGAAGCGCAUUUUCCGCUACUUAUGCAAAGGCGAUCGAGGAAAAAAACCAUUCAGGCGACGGCAAUAUACAGGCCAGGCAAGGUAGAGGUCAGGAAAAGAACCCACAUUUUGUGGGAAAAAGUAAUCAAAAUAGGCAGCAACAGGGUGAUCCUUGGCCAAAGCCAAACGAUAAAGAGGCCCCACAACAAAACCAAGUGCAGCCUGAGAAGGUUGACCCAUCGAUGUCUAGGUUUAGGCAACAGACCAAGUGGGGGAAAACACAGAGCGAACAUGUCAGAUCGUAUAUCUGGGCAAAGACGCCAACGGAUAACUAAUAUAAUACAUCAGGCCCCUAACCAAGGGGAACAAGAAUAUGAAAACUUAGCCGAGACCGCGGUUGCGGAUAUUGACGAAGAAAGUGACUCGGCAAUUGCCGUUCGUCGAGCGACAGUUGGCUGGCAGAACACUAAACAUUUUAAUCGUAAAGCCCGUAAAGGAGCUGAAAAACGUAACUUCGGUCGACACCCCCUUCACCGUGAGCUGGAUACAUGGCUACAUGGAUACAGGGAUACAGGAUAGAGGGAAAUCGACGAUGUUCUACGAGAACAAAUUGGGAAAAUAUGUUAUGUCUAUGUAGAUGAUGUAAUAAUUUUUCCGAAAACGAAAAUGAUCACGUUAAACACAUCGACACAGUGCUACAACGACUCUGCGAUGCAAACAUGAGAGUGGCCCCAGAAAAGAAAAAGUUCUUUAAAGAAAGCGUAGAGUUCUUAGGCUUCAUAGUUACCAAGGGAGGAGCCAAGACCGACCCAGAAAAAGUAAGGGCAAUAAAGGAAUACACUGAACCCAAAACCUGGUUCAGUCCCAGGUCCUUCCUCGGGCUGGCGAGCUAUUACAGGAGCUUCGUCAGAGAUUUCGCGACAAUAGCGAGACCCUUAACCGCAUUACUCAAAGGAGAAAAUGGCAGUCAGUCCAAGAAAGUUGAGAUUCUGUUCGGUGAAACGCAACGCAACGAAUUCGACCGUCUGCGA